CUCUGCACAGGUGCACAUGGACUUCUCGCGAGAACUUGAGCAGGUUUUCCAGAGGAUGGCCCAGCUAGAUCGGACGACAGCUAGAUCGGACGACAGCCAGAGGCAAGGGGAUUGAACUCAAGACCUUGCACUUCCGAAGCAGCAAGUUCUCUGGCAAGAUAACACUAGCCUCAAUGGGUUCUGGGGAGAGGAGGAGGAGAAAGAGGAAUCAGAGCCACUCAGAAGAAUCUGAACUGAGCAGUGGUAGACCGAGCUGGAUACACUUUGUCUCUGCAAACACCCAUCACAGCUAAUGAGAUGGAAAUGCAAUGGGAAAUGAACCACACUUUUUAAAACCUUCUUUUCCAAUUUCAUUGACUAUGAAAAUUUGCAGGAAACCUUCAGAGAUGAGAAGGGAGAUGGUGAAAGCAAACCAGACCAGAAUACAAAAUAACUUCAUUCACAUCAGAAAUCACUGGCAGGAUUUUGCUGUUACACACAAUCUGUUAGUUGGUUGAAUGGAGGACAGCCUGGUCAGAGUGGGGUCAACUGUGCCAAAAGAAGACAACAGUCAUCAGUUCCCUUUUUCUCCGGGCAGAAACCAGGACGUGACAUUAUCCAUGCGAGCAAGGCAAGGGUUUAAUGGCUUUGUAUUUGCAUAAUGACUUUCCCUUAGUGCUUUUGCUGUCCUGACUAAUUGCUUUAGAAUCUUCUGCUACAUCUGUUGGGUUUUAACACUUUUGUUGUUGUUGUUGUUGCUGAGGAUGGAACCCAGGGCCUUGUGCAACAUCCCCAGCUGUCCUGUUACUGGAUGAGGGGUUCCAUGGGCUCCUUUCCUGGUCCUUAGUGUUCUGGACAAAGAACUGGACAAGACACACAAAAAGGGCAGCAAGGAUAUACAGUCAUUGAAGGCAGAAAGGAGCGGGCAGACUUUAGUAUCAGAGAUACCUGGGCUGGUCUCCACCUCAUGUAAAGAAGGCCCUGAGAUACCUGUCCUAUCAAAAACUCAUUUGAGCUGGGCAUGGUGGCUCAUACCUGUAAUCCCAGCACUUGGGAGGCUGUGGCAGGAUGACUGCUGCAUGUUCAAGGCCAUCCUGGGCUACACAGUGAGUUUAAGGCCAGGUUGCACUAUGUAGCAAGACCCUAUCUCAAAAAAAAAAAAAAAGUAGCACACCAAAACAACAACAAUAAACCCCUCACUUGAUAUAAACUGUCAUUUCAAAAAGUUCACUCAGCCUCUCAGCACAGGUAAAUGAAAGAUCAGAAACAUCUUUGGUGCUCCCCUCCCUCACCCCCUUUUCUCUCGUGACAGCAUCUCCGCUAAGUGGCCAGGCUGGACUUGAACUUGAGAUCCUCCCACUGAAGCCUCCGGAGUAACUGGGAUUACAGCCAUGUGUCUUCUAAUAAAAUCAAAAUCUUCAAGCCCAGCCAUGUCCCAGGCCACCUAUAUAAAAUUUUGGAACAUGGGUUGUAAGAAACAGAAUUCCUAGGAUUUUCCUGGUGACAUAUAUGAUGUUCUAUCAGGAAGAAGGUCAUAACCCAGGAAGCGCCUGGUUUCACAGGGCUGUGAUCCCAGCUGCUCAGGAGGUGAAUUCAGAACUGCAAAUUUGAUCUCACCUGGGCAAUUCAGGGAGACUCUGUCUCAAAAGUCAGGGGCCAGGGAUUUGGCUCAGUGGUGUCGGUGCCUGCCUGGCAAGCACAAGGUCCUGAGUUUGAUCCCCAUACCAAAAAAAAAAGUUAGAGUGUGUGGAGGGGCGGGGCACUCAGGGCUUCCUGAUGCAGUCUCCAGUAGCAGAGGAGGCAGUUGGACACUUCUGCUCCUGCAUGCUGUGUACUCACCGGAUUGAGGCAGGAGGGGGGAAAUAAACUAGGUAGAGAAGAGACAAAGAAAACCAUAAUUGGAUUGAGGCAGGAGGGGGGAAAUAAGCUAGGUAGAGAAGAGACAAAGAAAACCAUAAUUUCAAAAGAGUGCUUUUAAAAAGACUGCAACUUCAGGACACAAAGCUACCCAUGGUUUUGCAUAUCUGCAUGACAGAGGUUUGCUUAUACUUCUUAGGCUUUUUUCCCUCCUCACCCCAAAUCCCUAAAAGAUAUUAUAAAUCUAUAAAUUACCUUAAUUAAUAAGGUAAGGGACAGAAAUCUGGCCUUAAGACAGAGAAACUGAUUCAAAGGUUUCAAAGAAUAUUUUUUAGGCAAAAUAUCUUAGAUCACUCUUCUUCAAAUUAAAAACAAACAAAACCAAUAGGGUGGGUACCUUUCUCCUGUGAAAUAGGACAUUCUUUCAUUUGUAAAAUGAGCCUUUAUCUUUAUUUUGAUUGUUUUUUGAGACAGGGUCUCCCUGUGUGGUUCAGGAUGGCCUUGAACUCACUAUGUAACCCAGCUGGUCUUGAAUUUAUGGCAAUUCUCCUGCCUGAGCCUCCUUACUGCUGUUUAACCUGUGGGUUGGCCUUCACUUUUCUUGUGUAAACCAGUAGUUCUCUUAACCUUUUUUGUAUUUCCCACCCUUUUUCUCUCCUUGUUUCAAUUUAGAUUUCUUCUGACUUGCGCUUCUUAUCUGGCUUUUUGUUUUAUUUUGUUUUGGUUUGGUUUCUGGUUUUUUGAGCCUGAGUCUUAGUAUCGUAGCCCAUUCUGGCCUCAAACUCACUAUGUAGCCCAGGCUGGCUAGAACUCAUGGCAGUCCUCCUGCCUCAGCCUCCCAAGUGCUGGGAUUACAUGUGUGUGCCACCAAGCCCAGCUCACUGAUGCCUCUCAAAAACUUUUUUCUAUGACAGAAGUCAGUGAACCCAAAACCUCCCCAGUGGGUGAGGUGAGUACUGGCUCCUCAUCUCCAUUUGAGAACCCUCCUCAGACCCUGUCGGGUGACAGGAUGAGCUUGAACAAAACCCUGUUCCUUCACACCUUACUAGCAGUGCCUUCCUGCCAAUAGAGUCCUAACUCUACAAGUCACACUGUCCUCAAAUUACCUCAAACAACCCUGACAGUUGUCCCAGACUUUUGCAAAAGAGGACCCUGGUCUCACACUUGAAAAGUCGCACUAAUUCUGGUCUUUUCCACUUGUGGAUUUGCUUGGUCUCUGUGAUCACCGUCUAGAGCCCUUGAUGCCCUCAUCAGCUGGGUUGAGCUCCUAUGCCAUGACUGAUAACUGCUCCUAUUAGGUGCUUGUCUUCGUUUCUUUCUUCGUCACUGAGACGCAAUAUCCAACACUCACAACUUAAAGGAGGAAAGGUUUAUUUUGGCUCACAGUUUGUAGAGGUUCAGUCCAUAGACAGCUGGCUCCAAGGCAGGGUGGUGUCGCAAAGGGGCGUGGUGGCAGGAAGCAGUGCAGGGUUCAAGGGAGGAGGAGGGACAUGUGUACAGCCUUCCAGGCCACUCCCACGGUGACCACCUCCUCCAAUCCAUUCUCCUCCCAACAUCGCAUUCAGCUAUAAAUUCAUCAGUGGCCUAAUCCAUUAAUGAGUAUCACACCCUCAGGAUCCAAUCUAAUGACCAUAUGAGGCUUGGUGGGGACAUCUAGAUAUAAACCGUUACAGUGGAGCUGGGGGCAAGACACCAUGGUAAGGUGGAAGUCAAAAGGACUACAGUCAGUAGAUCUUGAGCUGGGGUUGGUGGUGCAGUCCUGUCAUCCCAGCACUCAGGAGGCUGAAGCAAGAAGAUCAUCUCAAGGUUGAGGCCAGCCUGAGUGACAUAGUGCAAGGCCCGCCUGGCCUACAUACCAAGACUCUGUCUCAAAAAACCAAAAAAAGUGCUUACUUCGGCAGCACAUAUACUAAAAAACCAAAACAAAACAAAAUUGGUAGAUCUGUAUUCCAAACUUGGUUGGCUACUGACAAUUUCUCUAACCUUGGACACUUAGUUGUAAGUCAUUUCAUAAUCAGAGAGUAGUAAGAAAUAGCUUUCAGGUGAGCUUAAUAUAUCCCAGGGCCUAUAGAAAACACCAUACACAUUUCAAUUUGUAUGUAUGUAAUGUUUGAAAUAAAAUAAAUUAAAUAAUUCUCAUUCCCUCAAUGAAGAUUAAGGCAUCAACUUUUAUUCUUACAGCUUUUCUUCUCCCUCUCUCUCUCCCUCCCUCCCUCGCUCUCUCUCUCUCUCUCUCUCUCUCUCUCUCUCUCUCUCUCUCUCUCUCCCCCCUAGAACAAAUAAAUACAUUUAUCUCUAUUGGGUCUAUAAAAUGCUCAGAGAAACUUAAAAUCUUCAAGGAUUUAAUUUUAGGCAACAAAAUAUAAAACACGGUUAAUAUCAUUCCUGGAAACUUCUCAGAAUAGCGAAGAUUUCCUCACAUAAAUCAAUGGCUUACUUCUUAUUGCAGAAGAAUUCCAGUAAACACAAAUGAGGACAGCAUCUUCAAGAGUCAGAAUAUGGUUUGACCUAUGACCGAAUACAGUUCAAUUUUGUUUCACUUUUAAAAAGAGAGAGACCGUCAUUGAAAACUUAGUGGAACAAUCAGAAGCUUAGCCAGACUAGAUCAAGGGAUAUUGAAUAUUGUCUCCAAAAUUAAGUGUGGUUUUGUUUUUCAUCUGCCCAGCAAAUCAAUGUUGUCAUGGUUGCAUGAAAUGGAGAAAUAAAAUUAACCUUUGAAAAUCAAA